rnacentral:rRNA from 1 species
UACACUCCUGCGGGAGGCAGCAGUGGGGAAUAUUGGACAAUGGGCGCAAGCCUGAUCCAGCCAUGCCGCGUGAGUGAUGAAGGCCCUAGGGUUGUAAAGCUCUUUCACCGGAGAAGAUAAUGACGGUAUCCGGAGAAGAAGCCCCGGCUAACUUCGUGCCAGCAGCCGCGGUAAUACGAAGGGGGCUAGCGUUGUUCGGAAUUACUGGGCGUAAAGCGCACGUAGGCGGAUCGAUCAGUCAGGGGUGAAAUCCCAGGGCUCAACCCUGGAACUGCCUUUGAUACUGUCGAUCUGGAGUAUGGAAGAGGUGAGUGGAAUUCCGAGUGUAGAGGUGAAAUUCGUAGAUAUUCGGAGGAACACCAGUGGCGAAGGCGGCUCACUGGUCCAUUACUGACGCUGAGGUGCGAAAGCGUGGGGAGCAAACAGGAUUAGAAACCCCUGUAGUCCCA